rnacentral:rRNA from 1 species
GGACUACUGGGGUUUCUAAUCCUGUUUGCUACCCACGCUUUCGUGUCUCAGUGUCAGUGAUGGUCCAGUAAGCUGUCUACACCACAGGUGUUCCUCCUGAUAUCUACGCAUUUCACCGCUACACCAGGAAUUCCGCUUACCUCUCCCAUACUCAAGCACUCCAGUUUUCGGCGCACCCUCCCAGUUAAGCCGGGAGAUUUCACACCAAACUUAGAGCACCACCUACACACUCUUUACGCCCAGUAAUUCCGAACAACGCUUGCUGCCUACGUAUUACCGCGGCUGCUGGCAC